rnacentral:snRNA from 1 species
AUCACUUCUUGGCCUUUUGGCUAAGAUCAAGUGUAGUAUC